GGGGGCGUCAAGGCUUCGACUGGGAGAUUCGCUUCCGGUAGGUCUGCAAGCAGAGCGCGUAACUCUAAAAACUGCGCAACAAUUUAAAUGCCAAGAAAAAUGAUGUUGUAUCCAUGAAUUUGGGUGCUGCUAACAUGGCUAUCGCUGCUUAACUUAAAGUAGUAGCGACGGGUUUGUAGACACGCCGUCUUGAGGGAAUACAAACUUGACAGAUUAACCAAGACUUACAACCUGCAGGAGUGCACAUGCAGUGUUGGACAUUAUUGUGCACUGUAGCUAUAUGAGGGUUAGAUGGUUUCCCUAACAUAUAGCGAAUCAGUAACAACCAUCUAAGCUUGUAGAGGGCUUAUUGGGCACUCUUAGGACGCGGGUUCAAUUCCCGCCGCCUCCAUUU
rnacentral:tmRNA from 2 species